CAGCCAGGAUUGCCCCUAGCCGCCGAGACACAUCCAGAAUUGCAGACCCAGUCAUUGACACAUCGAGCCAGCCGCUCGCUUCCUCGCGAGCUCCAGAUUUCGCUGUCUCGCUCGCUCGUCGCUCGCCGUCCCCUCCUAUGUAGCCGAUCGUUCGGCGCCCAGGACCGCAGCCUGUCCGUCCCGUCCGCUUGGUGUUUGGGGCUCGGCGGCGGCCGCGCCACCUCAACUGCGGAGUCGUGCCCUUGCAAGCCGCCGCCGCCGCCCAAUCCGCACAUCGGCGCUCGGCCGAGAGGCAGUAGCCAGCCAGCAACCAUCCGUGUUGAUUUGAGAAGCCACGAAAUUGAGGCGGAUGUGUCUCAGACCUAAGUUGUUGCAGCUGGACCGUGGUUCCAUGCAUCCUCGCUUGGAGGCAGUGGUGCUGGGAGAUAUGCAUGUGCAAGGCGAAGAAGUGGACGAAGGCCUGAAGAAGCAAUCUAUGCCUCCCUAUCGCUGGGCUGAUCGAGCGAUGCGCUUCAGCGGCUGCCUCACCGACGACGGUGAAGGAAGGAUCAGAAGUGCCGGCUAUAGCGCUAGGAAAUUGGAAACCCUAGCAGUUGAUCUUCUCUAUAAAACAUGUGUGGCAAGGGGGGUGGAACCUGCUUCAGGGAAGGAGAUAGAUGACGUGAGAGAAGAGACCAGCUUGCAUCCUUUAUCUGACAGCCAAUUGUUUUUUUUUUGCCAAUUGCCUACUCCAUAUUGUCCAUGUGUUCGAUGCAUGCAAACGUGUGGCUCUUGAAGUUUGUACGUAGACCUGCUAUAUUGCUCUCGGAUACGUGUAAGAGCUUUAUUUUUCGGAAACACUAACGCCCACACGUGUGGGCGUUCCUCAA